UACGGAGGGUGCAAACGUUGCUCGGAAUCAUUGGGCGUAAAGCGCACGUAGGCGGCCGAUUAAGUCGGGUGUGAAAGCCCUGGGCUCAACCCAGGAAGUGCACUCGAAACUGACCGGCUUGAAUAUGGAAGAGGGUCGCGGAAUUCCCGGUGUAGUGGUGAAAUACGUAGAUAUAGGAAGGAACACCAGUGGCGAAGGCGACCACCUGGACUGAUACUGACACUGAGGUGCGAAAGCGUGGGGAGCAAACAGG
rnacentral:rRNA from 1 species